GAAGAGGAAGGCUUCUGAGGCUUAUUUAUCUUAAGACCCUUUAUCAAGACAGAGAGAAGAGGGACGAGGGGCAUCUGAUUGGGAGGUCCAACAAUUGUAGACUGGUCUUGGCGUGCAGGGUGACCACCGAGUGUGGGGUUUACGGCUGAGUACCGAUGAUAUCGCUGUAUGUGGGAGUUCUGUUGCGUACGGAGAUUUACGGCUGAGAGCCGGGGAUUACCAAUGUGUGCAGUGAAUUAUUGAUGUGAGCAGUGGAUUUCCACAUGUGCAGGUAUUGUCAUUACGGUUUUGUGCAAGUGUUAUUUUUUUUUUGUAACGUGUUCUUGAUGAAAUCUAGAAAUUAAACCCAAAAAGGACACCUAACCAGGAAAAAGAAGAAUGGAAAGAAAUGAAACUAAAAUUUGUGACAAUGGUCUAUUUGAUUGGUAAGACCAUGAAUAUGGUCAGUUCUCAGUGGAACUAUGGAUGCUAAGACUAGGUACGGUAUUCGUCCAAAAAAAAGACUAGGUACGGUCUAGCUGUCUUACAGAUACAUGGUUUUCAAUUUAGUUUGCUCAAGUCACUGAGCAGUUGCUGGAAAGUUACUAAGGUUUGGUUUUUGGUCAAGUCAUUGAGCAGUUGCUGGAAAGUUACUCAGGUUUGAUAGACAUAUACGGUGAUGAAUCAAUAAGUGAAAACAAAGAUUUUGAUGCUUAACGAGUUUCUGAGGAAUAGAGUGAACUAAUGGAUAUUUUAAAUUGAUCAAAUUGUAAAUCGGUUUACUGUUUGAAAGGGCUUAUGGUUGAUGAAUAUUGCAAAAGGAUAAUCUAUACCUUCAGUGUUAACUUGAUGAUCCACAUUGUGCUUUUAUUAUCAGGAUUCUCCAAGUUUUCUAAUUAAAUCUGACCAUUCAUGUCAGAAAGCGGUAAGAAUAAAAGGAACCAGAGUAUGAAUGGCAUUCUUACAUUUUGGUGCAAUGUGGUGAUUUUAGUCACAAAGGAUUGACUAAUUAGGCAAAUGAGCAAAUACUUAAAUCUGGAUUACACUGACAAUACCAGAGCAAACUUCGAAAGUAUAUGUUAUAGAUUGUGUUAGGUCUCAUAUGUCUGAGACUUGAUUACUACUAUCAUGCAUCACCACAUACUCUAAUCUUGUUUACCCAAAACAUCUUUAGACCCACCAAGAUUUAUGCUUUACACUUUGGUGUAUUAUUUUCAUUGCUCUUCUUGAGCAAUAUAGUCUUACUGCACUUGCUAAUUUUUUUUAAAUUUCGAGGACAAAUUUUUUUUUAAGGAAGUGGGUUUGUAAUACCUGAUUAGUCCAAAAAAAAUUAAUAAAAAUAAAAA